CUCCAGGCCUCCAACAGCCAUCAGAUGAGGGCUGAAUGGUACACGAGAUGGAACACGGGGUUGGGGGAACAGAUGGGCCUGGGGUUUUAUUUUUGGAGACAGGAUCUAGCUGUGUAGUUCGGGCUGGCCUCAAACUGCUGGUAAUCCUCCUGCCUCAGCCUCCUGAGUGCAAGCGUGGACCAACCCGCUUGGCAUGCGGAGUCUUUGGAUCCCCCAUAUCCCCUCCACCCAAAGUGCUGGAAUCUGCUUGAAUUUCUCCCUCCCGUCACUGGCUCAGGUGAGGAAACUGAGGUCCCGGUCACCCAGAGUACACAGCAGAGUCACAACACAAGCCCAGUUCUCCAGAGGGCAGAACUUGUGCCCACCACCUUACACCAGCGAGUCGCACCCGGGGGCGACUGUGCACCUGCUCCCCCACCCCCAACAGGUAGCUCUGUCUGAUCAUCAUAUGCGGGUCACAGAGGGUGAGCGCUCCUGGUACAGGACAGGGAGGCGGGGUCACUGCCCCUCCCAAAGACAGCGUCUGCAGCACCCGGGACCAAAUCCGGCCUGGUGUCCAGCUCCCCUCCGCAGGCCUCCUACACGUGCCUUCCCGCCCACAACCCCCCUGCGCCUAGUGACACCCCCUGCCUUUCUGACCCAAGGCGGGACCCCUCCUUAGGGUCUCCAGCACCCCACCUGGACUUCCAGGCAGGAGAGAGAGAGAGGGAGCAGAGGAGAGGCGGCCUCUGGUUUGGAGGACAGGGGAGGUAGCCGGGUCUGAGGUCCAGCUACACCGAGUCCGGGUGUGUGUAGUGCGGUCAGCACGUGACCACCGUUUCCUAGCCGGCAAAACUGAGGCUUGGGGGGACUCUUCCACCCCCCGUGGCCAGGGCACAGUGGGGAGCAGGCAGUGGGGGAUUCUGGCCGGGAGGGGUCUGGUUUUGCACACCUGGCCGGCCGUCUCCAGGCGGAAUUUGACCCAGUAACAGUAGCAAGCCCUUGAGGACAGCGACAGUGUCUGGAGGAGCCGCUGGCUGAGGCGGGGCAGGUGGGCAGGGGGCUCCUGACGAGGACGCGCUCAGGAGCCAGUGGGAGGCGGGAGCUGCGGCCUGACCCCCACCUGGCGGUGAGAUCCCCCAAGAAUCAGCGCCAGGAGAACCAAUCAAGGGCAGCAGGGGAGUGGGGAGGGUUGGGGGAGGAGACGCGGCAGGGACCAAGGGACCCAGGGUAGGGAGAUGCCACCCAGGCCCCAGAUCCAAGGGAAGCCGUGGGGGCAUCGAGGACCCCCGCCCCCGCCCCUCAGAAGGCCCCUGGGGUAGAGCCCUGACCUCCGGUCAGCAAGGGCCAGCCCCUCUGUCCC
rnacentral:lncRNA from 1 species